rnacentral:rRNA from 1 species
UACGUAGGGUGCAAGCGUUGUCCGGAAUUAUUGGGCGUAAAGAGCUCGUAGGCGGUUUGUCGCGUCUGCUGUGAAAACUCGGGGCUUAACCCCGGGCCUGCAGUGGGUACGGGCAGACUAGAGUGCGGUAGGGGAGACUGGAAUUCCUGGUGUAGCGGUGAAAUGCGCAGAUAUCGGGAGGAACACCAGUGGCGAAGGCGACUUUCUGGCCUGUUCUUGACGCUGAGGCGCGAAAGCUAGGGGAGCAAACGGG